rnacentral:misc_RNA from 1 species
GGGGUCUUCAGUCUCGAGGUGCAAUCCGUCCCAAACGGGACGCCCGUCUAACGCCCGACCAACGGAAAAAUUCCGGUUGUUUUUUUGUUUUUCAGUUGAAAAUAUAAAUUCGGGUGAGGAGAAAUUUUCCGAGGUUGAAAAUCGCGUUGGAGAGAAGCGGAGUUUGCCCAGUGUGUUGUGGUGAGUGCGCGAGUGUAAUGUGGCCGAGGCAUGGAUGAGAGGCGGCAGAGCCAGAGAUCGAGGCGGCGGGCUUCGAGGAUCCUCGCGGAAAAGAGGCGGCGUGGGGCGGCGCUCAGCUGCGACGAUGAGUCCCCGGCGAGGGAGAGGGCCAAGCCGCCCAGGAGGAAGAAGAAGGAGCCACUUUACGAAGAAGACGUCGUCGACGGAUUCGCCAUCCUUUCUUUCAAGACCUUCGAAGACAUUGAGACCUGUUUGAAGCUCGGGAAGGGCGCUACGAACGGCGUGAUCCCGACCAUCACCCGGGACGAACCCGCCGCCGUCAAACAGGAGCGAGCCUCGCCCGUUCCGCCUAAGAUCGUCAACAACCACCAUGAAAAAGCCGCCCACGAUGUAGGCACCAGCGACGACAGCUGCAGGGAGAAGGAAAAGAGGAUAAUCAAGAGGGAUCCGGAAAGCGAAGACAAUAGACUAAGCGAUGCGAGCAGCCGGUGUAGCUCCGGUCGUGGAUAUAUCUGUGAUAGCGAAGGGGACGACGACAAGGCUUCGGAUUCAGGAUCUGUACUCUUUUCAGCAUCUCCCCCGCCUACGAGAAACCAUGAAAGUAAACCAGCAGACGUUCAAAUUGUCAAUGGUCAUACACCCACGAUCAAGACUAAUGGAUCUCCAAGGCCUGAAACUCCUCCGCCUCCACCACCUCCAGUUCAGGCAGUGCAGCCUAUACAGCAACAGCCACCGCCCCAGCCUCAGCCACCGCCUCCACAGCAACCACCGCAACAACCGGUCACCUCCUCCAACCACUUCCCAGCUAUGCCAAAUGGUGUCCCUAAAGUAGAACGAGUGAGCCCACCUCCAGUCCAUGUAAGCUCUCCACGGAUUAUACCUCCGCCUAGCAGUACAUACACAACUAGGCCAGGAGUGGGAUAUGUCGGUUAUCCACCUCCACCGCCACAGCCGACUAUAUGCCAUCCAACAACCGCCACAUCCCAACCCCUUCCGUAUCAGCCACCUUUGUAUGCCCCUUACAACAACACUCCAUAUUUACCUCCAUCUCACCAGUUGGCGAGAAGAUCUCCUGUUGGGUUAAAACCGAUCACAACCUCUGUGGGCCCUGUCAUGCCGACAACAACGACGUCGAGUCAUCGCGACAUGGUGAACACCCCGUUGGUUGGAAGAAGCCACUCACCCCGAGGUCACAGCCCAACCAGAGAGCGAGACAGUUACAGCAGCAACGUCAGCAGCUUGAGCAGAGGAAGUGUCGGAACCCCCGGUAGCAUACCUCCUUACACCGCUCCUCAUCAUCCGCCACAAUCUAGUCUCCCUUACAACAAGCCUUCCAUUUGGGUCAGCUCGAACACUGGUCCACAAGUAUCUCCUGCUGCAAGCAGCAGACUCGGUUUCCCGCAUCCUUUUCCUCCUCCUAUGUUCCCUCCAACUCAAGUCGCGCCCUCACAACCUCCGCCCGCCCCUGCACCGCCUCCCAAUCCUUUCUCCGCCGAGUCUUUGUUCCAGUCAAGUAAGUCAAGUUCUAUUCCAGAUCAAGGUGAUUUAUUAAGAAGGGAGCUAGACUCGAGAUUUUUAGCAAGCCAGGAUCGCGGACCUUAUAUCAGGACCGAGAUGCACCACCAUCAGCAUCAGCAUACCCACGUUCACCAGCAUACCACUCCAAUAAUCCCGCCUCCGCCACCGACAUUGUUCACCUCGCCAAUAGUAAGUGGGACCGGAUUCACACCGGGGGCAGCCGUCGAAUCGCCAUUCUACAGGCAGAGCAUCGGCUUCACAGGAUACCCGGGAUACUCGCCGGGACUCAUGCACCCGACCUUCGGACCCUCUACGCCGUUCGCACCUCCUACUCAUAUUCCUACAUUUACACCAAAACAAUUGACUGAGCCUUCUAAACCUAAAACAGUGAAAACGGGAAAAUGGAAUGCGAUGCACGUAAGGGUGGCCUGGGAAAUAUACCACCACCAGCAGAAAGGAGGCCUGAGUAUGGGGGGUGAGAGCAAAGUUGGUACUCUCAUCGGAAAAAGCGACCUCCUUCGACCUCCGACGCACAUGUUCGGCCCGCCCCAUCCUUUCACACCGGCCCAUAGAGCUCCGCCGACGUUUGAACACACACCACCGACUUUUCCUCCAAUGGGAACAAGUGUGUUUGGAAGGUACCCAGCUGCAACGGCUACGUUUCCUUCGUUACCAGCUUUCCCCCCUCCUGCAUCAAUGCACGAUCCUUGGGCUAGGCUGCAACCCAGGCCGGUACCGACACAGGGUUUCCCUCCGACGAAUCCUUGGACUUUGAAGCCUGACCCGCAUGAAGAGAGAGAGAGGGAAAAGGAGAGAGAAAGGAGUCGAGAAAGAGCGAGGCGUGAGGAAAAGCAAAGGAGGCUCGUCAGCGUGAGCAAAGUGAGGGACAGGUCACCUUUAAGGGCGGAACCUCAAGUAGUACCUGCAUCGAGUAAAGACGACGAGGUGGCGAUGCUUUCGAGACAGCAGCAUUUCCUCACACGCCAGCCGCCCAGGCCUUUACCCCCGCACUUCCUAGCAUCGCCUUGGGAUCCUUACAGGUACGACACCUUGAGGUAUAAUCCGUUGGUUGCGGCGCUCCGUGAAGAAGAGGAACAGCGAGCGAAACUUUUCGGAACAUACCCAGGAGCUCCUCCAAGUGUGGCACACCUCCGGCCAAAAGCCACCAGCCCUCCUCACAGACUACCUCCUGCUCAUCAGCCAAAAGAAGAAUCAUCUCAGUCUCGAUAGCAGUUAUAAAGUGUUACUUAUUUUAAGGAACAGUCAGACGUUACUGAAGUGAAAGGAUUAAUUUUACAAAUACAUCUAUUAGACAUAUCCAGUAGAUUAAAUCGAGUCUUUGACAAUGAAGAGAAUCUAGUGAAAUUUAAUACAAGUAAAUUGAGUACGCCUCCAUGGGGUUAUGUUCACUAAGUCAUUAUUAGACUGAGUUUAAAACAACAACAUAAAAUUGUAUGUUUUACGCAGACUGGAAAAUGCCUAGGCAUUGUGAUAUUACUGAAUGCGUUUUAGCACUCAUUUAACUUAUUUUACUUAUGACUUGUUGUUCAAGUUGAUAUUGUAAAAGAAUUAUAACAGUUGGCAGAAAAAGAAAAGUUAUUGUAUUUAAAAAAAAAAAAAUUUAAUUAUAGUGAACAGAGAUUUGAAUGAAAAACUAUUAUUCU